CAGUGUUUAUUCAGACGGGAUCUUUCCUCUUGUCCUUGAUGGUUUGGGAUAAAAAUUGGCCCUUUCUCAUUUUGUAUGAAGAAUACCGAAUAUCUUCAUGCACUGCUUGCCUGAUAAAGAAACUCAGACACUCCCAUAUCCCUGGCGAUG